rnacentral:rRNA from 1 species
GACGAACGCUGGCGGCGUGCUUAACACAUGCAAGUCGAACGGAAAGGCCCUGCUUUUGUGGGGUGCUCGAGUGGCGAACGGGUGAGUAACACGUGAGUAACCUGCCCUUGACUUUGGGAUAACUUCAGGAAACUGGGGCUAAUACCGGAUAGGAGCUCCUGCUGCAUGGUGGGGGUUGGAAAGUUUCGGCGGUUGGGGAUGGGAUCGCGGCUUAUCAGCUUGUUGGUGGGGUAGUGGCUUACCAAGGCUUUGACGGGUAGCCGGCCUGAGAGGGUGACCGGCCACAUUGGGACUGAGAUACGGCCCAGACUCCUACGGGAGGCAGCAGUGGGGAAUAUUGCACAAUGGGCGGAAGCCUGAUGCAGCAACGCCGCGUGCGGGAUGACGGCCUUCGGGGUGUAAACCGCUUUCGCCGGUGACGAAGCGGGAGUGACGGUAAUGGGUAAAGAAGCACCGGCUAACUACGUG